rnacentral:rRNA from 1 species
GUCUACAGCCAGGCCACCCUGACACGCCCGAUCCCGUCUGAUCUCUGGAAGCUAAGCUAAGCAGGGUUGGGCCUGGUUAGUACUUGGAUGGGAGACCACCUAGGAAGACCAGGUGCUGUAGGCG